UGCCAGCCGCCGCGGUAAUACAGAGGGUGCGAGCGUUAAUCGGAAUUACUGGGCGUAAAGAGCGCGUAGGUGGCUAAGUAAGUUGGAUGUGAAAUCCCUGGGCUUAACCUAGGAACUGCAUUCAAAACUACUUGGCUAGAGUAGAGUAGAGGGAAGUGGAAUUUCCGGUGUAGCGGUGAAAUUCGUAGAUAUUGGGAAGAACACCAGUGGCGAAGGCGGCUAACUGGCUCGGUACCGACGCUGAGAUGCGAAAGCGUGGGGAGCAAACAGGAUUAGAUA
rnacentral:rRNA from 1 species